GAUGAACGCUGGCGGCGUGCCUAAUACAUGCAAGUCGAGCGAAGAGAUGAGGGGCUUUCCCCUCGGAUGAUUGCGCCGGACGGGGGAGUAAAACGUGUAAAACACACCUAUCAUACUGGGAGAAAACCGGGAAAAAGGAUCUCUUACCGCGUAUAACAGUAUACCGCAUGGGAGAGCAGUGUAAGAGUUUGUUAUGCUAACACUAAGAUGUAGCCGCGCGGCGCAUUAGCUAGUUGGUGGGGUAAGGGCCCACCAAGGCGACGAUGCAUAGCCGACCUGAGAGGGUGAUCGGCCACACUGGGACUGAGACACGGCCCAGACUCCUACGGGAGGCAGCAGUAGGGAAUCUUCCGCAAUGGGCGAAAGCCUGACGGAGCAACGCCGCGUGAGUGAAGAAGGACUUCGGAUCGUAAAGCUCUGUUGUUAGGGAAGAACGGAUAUGUAGUAACCAUAGAUGUAAGAGACGGUACCUAAUCAGAAAGCCACGGCUAACUACGUG
rnacentral:rRNA from 1 species